CAAGUGUGAAAGGAGGUCUUCGAAUGGAUGAAAUUUGGUCUCUGAGAGAGGUGGCGGCGGAGGGACAGCAGAUGCAGGGCAGAGGCCCCCAUGCCCCGAGGCUUUCUCUCUGCGUGGGGGCAGGGUGGGGUGGGUGGCAGAUAGAAGGGAGAGGCUUUCUCAGAAGGACCGGCCACCACCCCAGUCCUUUGCUCGAAGCCUUCUCUCCCCUCGCGGCGCAGAGAAGCCAAUCCUCCCUCUGCCCCUGCACACCUUGCCCCCCAGUCUCAAGGCCACACCUGGGCUACUAGUCACCUGGCCCACCCCACUCCUUUACCCUCUGAGGCCUCGAACCCACCUCCCACAGAAAACAGUCCACACCUGCCUGCUCGCCCUUCACCGCUCCUGACACACCCAGCUGGAAUCUACAUUUCCUUAUUCGCACCUUGGAUCUGUCAUGCGGUGAACAGCCGUCUGCAGUUAUUUCAAUUUUGUGUGUUCUCUCCCUGACUAGGAUAUAGAAGGUAGGAUAUAGACUAGGAGGUAGAGAAGCUGUGAUGAGACGUCAGGCUGGAGGCAGAGCCUCAGAGUGCAGACUCGGGGAGGCCAUGCAAACUGCGGCUGCGAGCUCAGGGGCUCACUCAUGUGUCCCCAGUCACUGUCAUGCGGACUGUCAUCGUAUUUGCCAAAAACGCUUCACAAGGGGAGCUAUAAACAGCAGUGUCCACCCAAUAGGGCCCACGCCUUGACCUUGGAGUUGAAUCGUCAGCACCACUUGACCGCUUCUCUCUGUGUCCUUCACCCUUGACCUCUUUGACAGUGUGGUGCCGGGUGUGUGCAGCCUGAGGGAAUCUGUUCCGGGACGUGGUUGAGCUCCAUCUGCCCU
rnacentral:lncRNA from 1 species